rnacentral:rRNA from 1 species
GAUGAACGCUGACAGAAUGCUUAACACAUGCAAGUCAACUUGAAUUUGGGUUUUUAACUUAGAUUUGGGUGGCGGACGGGUGAGUAACGCGUAAAGAACUUGCCUCACAGCUAGGGACAACAUUUAGAAAUGAAUGCUAAUACCUGAUAUUAUGAUUUUAAGGCAUCUUAGAAUUAUGAAAGCUAUAAGCACUGUGAGAGAGCUUUGCGUCCCAUUAGCUAGUUGGAGAGGUAACAGCUCACCAAGGCGAUGAUGGGUAGCCGGCCUGAGAGGGUGAACGGCCACAAGGGGACUGAGACACGGCCCUUACUCCUACGGGAGGCAGCAGUGGGGAAUAUUGGACAAUGGACCGAGAGUCUGAUCCAGCAAUUCUGUGUGCACGAUGAAGUUUUUCGGAAUGUAAAGUGCUUUCAGUUGGGAAGAAAGAAAUGACGGUACCAACAGAAGAAGUGACGGCUAAAUACGUGCCAGCAGCCGCGGUAAUACGUAUGUCACGAGCGUUAUCCGGAUUUAUUGGGCGUAAAGCGCGUCUAGGUGGUUAUGUAAGUCUGAUGUGAAAAUGCAGGGCUCAACUCUGUAUUGCGUUGGAAACUGUAUAACUAGAGUACUGGAGAGGUAAGCGGAACUACAAGUGUAGAGGUGAAAUUCGUAGAUAUUUGUAGGAAUGCCGAUGGGGAAGCCAGCUUACUGGACAGAUACUGACGCUAAAGCGCGAAAGCGUG